rnacentral:rRNA from 1 species
UACGUAGGGCGCAAGCGUUAUCCGGAAUUAUUGGGCGUAAAGAGCUCGUAGGCGGUUUGUCGCGUCUGCCGUGAAAGUCCGGGGCUCAACUCCGGAUCUGCGGUGGGUACGGGCAGACUAGAGUGAUGUAGGGGAGACUGGAAUUCCUGGUGUAGCGGUGAAAUGCGCAGAUAUCAGGAGGAACACCGAUGGCGAUGGCAGGUCUCUGGGCAUUAACUGACGCUGAGGAGCGAAAGCAUGGGGAGCGAACAGG